rnacentral:rRNA from 1 species
UACGUAGGGUCCAAGCGUUGUCCGGAAUUAUUGGGCGUAAAGAGCUCGUAGGCGGCGUGUCGCGUCGGAUGUGAAAGCCCGGGGCUUAACUCCGGGUCUGCAUUCGGUACGGGCAUGCUGGAGUUCGGUAGGGGAGACUGGAAUUCCUGGUGGUAGCGGUGAAAUGCGCAGAUAAUCAGGAGGAACACCGGUGGCGAAGGCGGGAUC